rnacentral:rRNA from 1 species
UACGUAGGGUGCAAGCAUUAAUCGGAUUUAUUGGGCGUAAAGGGCGCGUAGGCGGAGAUGUAAGUCAGAUGUGAAAUCCCGGAGCUCAACUCCGGAACAGCAUUUGAAACUGCAUCCCUAGAGGGUAAGCGGAGAAAACGGAAUUCCACAAGUAGCGGUGAAAUGCGUAGAUAUGUGGAAGAACACCAGUGGCGAAGGCGGUUUUCUAGCUUAUACCUGACGCUGAUGCGCGAAAGCAAGGGGAGCAAACAGG